CGAUCAGUUUAUCAGACACUUCAGGCUCAAUCUCACAAAGCGUCCCAUAAACACAGCUUCAGGGUGACCCCACAUCUGUAAGACCGUCCCCACAUGCACAACUUUAGGAUGAACCCAGAAUUCUGGCUGAGAUGAUCGAGUUGGCAACUACACUAUGAAAGUGUUUGACUCAACACCUGAUGAUGCCCACCAAAAGUGCAGAGGCUGCUGUUCACCUGUUGCUGUCUGUCACAAUUACAAUGGAGGGACUGAGAGACAAAUCUGAGUAAUUGCAGUCAGUAAUGACAAAGAACUUUUGUAAUCAAUUAAUUAUGUGUCAUGGAGUCACAAUUUGCAUGUAUUGUGUGUGUAGUUGUUAAAAUGUGUGCAGAUUUUGCUUGCUGC